GACUAACGCUGGCGGCGUGCUUAACACAUGCAAGUCGAACGGAAAGGCCCUGCUUGCCGGGUACUCGAGUGGCGAACGGGUGAGUAACACGUGGGUGAUCUGCCCUGCACUUCGGGAUAAGCUUUGGAAACUGGGUCUAAUACCGGAUAGGAACCAUCUUUCGUGUGGUGGUUGGAAAGUUUUUUCGGUGUAGGAUGAGCUCGCGGCCUAUCAGCUUGUUGGUGGGGUAAUGGCCUACCAAGGCGGCGACGGGUAGCCGGCCUGAGAGGGUGUACGGCCACAUUGGGACUGAGAUACGGCCCAGACUCCUACGGGAGGCAGCAGUGGGGAAUAUUGCACAAUGGGCGCAAGCCUGAUGCAGCGACGCCGCGUGGGGGAUGAAGGCCUUCGGGUUGUAAACUCCUUUCGCUAGGGACGAAGCUUUGUUGUGACGGUACCUAGAUAAGAAGCACCGGCUAACUACGUG
rnacentral:rRNA from 1 species